GACGAACGCUGGCGGCGUGCUUAACACAUGCAAGUCGAACGGAAAGGCCUGCUUUCCCUUGUGGAUUGCGGGUGCUCGAGUGGCGAACGGGUGGGUAACACGUGAGUGAUCUGCCCCCAACUUGGGUAUAAGCCUGGGAAACUGGGUCUAAUUCCCGAUAGGACUGCAGGGUGGUGCCUGUGGUGGAAAACGAUUUUCUAGUGGUUGGGGAUGAGCUCGCGGCCUAUCAGCUUGUUGGUGGGGUAAUGGCCUACCAAGGCGGCGACGGGUAGCCGGCCUGGGAGGGUGGACGGCCACAUUGGGACUGAGAUACGGCCCAGACUCCUACGGGAGGCAGCAGUGGGGAAUAUUGCACAAUGGGCGGAAGCCUGAUGCAGCGACGCCGCGUGGGGGAUGACGGCCUUCGGGUUGUAAACUCCUUUCGACCGCGAGGAAGCCACCUGGUUGGAAGGGUGGUGACGGUAGUGGUAGAAGAAGCACCGGCUAACUACGUG
rnacentral:rRNA from 1 species